CUGGAAAGUCAGUUGUUUAAGACUAUCCUAAAAGUAAACUUGGACUAUUUGCAGGCACAAGGAUUAAAAACAAAGUAAAAAAGACCGAGAAAUAAACACACACAAUUCCAGAAGAAAAGAAUGUGUGACAAGAAUACCUGUGACAUAUUGCAAAGGAUUAACAGAAAGCGGAUAAUAAAAGAUAAUAUCACCUGAAUCACCUUUCAGGAGAACAAUGAAGAGGAAGUACUUGAAAUCUGCAGGGAAUCCAGUGGUUAUCAAGCCACUCUGCCAGCCCACAGACCAGAGAACGUUACAACAGAUGCCAGGGGAACAUCCCUACAGGAGCGACUGUGGCGUCUAAGGUUCACUCACAUCCAGAGGUGCUUCUCUCCAGAAGGAGAAGGAACAUGGCAAUGAGUUGACAGAGUGAACUCCUUUUUAGAGGUGCUCCCAUUUUUCCAUUAUUAUUUUUCAUUCAGUAAUUCAACAAAUAUGUACUUAUUUCUAUACGUCUAACAAAUUGUGCUUUGAAAUUUACCUAUCAAUAAAAAAGCUAAGAAAUUAUCA
rnacentral:lncRNA from 1 species